rnacentral:tRNA from 1 species
UCCUCGAUGGUCUAACGGUCAUGAUUUCCGCUUGUCACGCGGGAGACCUGGGUGACUCUCAGUCGGGGAU